rnacentral:rRNA from 1 species
CUACGGGCGGUGCAGUUAGGGAUAUUCGGCAAUGGGGGAAACCCUGACCGAGCAAUGCCGCGUGAAUGAAGAAGUAUUUCGAUAUGUAAAGUUCUGUUGUUAAGGAAGAAAGGUACGAAUAGGAAAUGAUUCGUAAUUGACGGUACUUAACCAGAAAGCCCCUGCUAACUACGUGCCAGCAGCAGCGGUAAUACGUAGGGGGCGAGCGUUAUCCGGAAUUAUUGGGCGUAAAGGGUGCGUAGGCGGCCGGUCAAGUCCGAGUUGAAAGCCCACGGCUUAACCGUGGAGGGUGCUCGGAAACUGAUAGGCUUGAAGCCAGAAGAGGCAAGUGGAAUUAUAUGUGGAGCGGUGGAAUGCGUAGAUAUAUGGAGGAACACCAGUGGCGAAGGCGGCUUGCUGGGCUGGUAUUGACGCUGAUGCACGAAAGCGUGGGGAGCAAACAGGAUUAGAUACCCCCGUAGUC